AGAGUUUGAUUAUGGCUCAGGAUGAACGCUAGCGGCAGGCCUAACACAUGUAAGUCGAGGGGUAACAGGUAAAAAGCUUGCUUUUUAUGCUGACGACCGGCGCACGGGUGAGUAACGCGUAUGCAACCUACCUUUUACUGGAAGAUAGCCCCGAGAAAUCGGGAUUAAUACUCCAUAACAUUAUGAUAUCGCAUGAUAUUAUACUUAAAGCUCCGGCGGUAAAAGAUGGGCAUGCGUGACAUUAGUUUGUUGGUAAGGUAACGGCUUACCAAGACAUCGAUGUCUAGGGGUUCUGAGAGGAUUGUCCCCCACACUGGUACUGAGACACGGACCAGACUCCUACGGGAGGCAGCAGUGAGGAAUAUUGGUCAAUGGUCGAAAGACUGAACCAGCCAUGCCGCGUGCAGGAUGAAUGCGCUAUGCGUUGUAAACUGCUUUUCUACAGGAAGAAACCUACUUACGUGUAAGUAGUUGCCGGUACUGUAGGAAUAAGCACCGGCUAACUCCGUGCCAGCAGCCGCGGUAAUACGGAGGGUGCGAGCGUUAUCCGGAUUUAUUGGGUUUAAAGGGUGCGUAGGCGGAAUAUUAAGUCAGUGGUGAAAUCCUGCGGCUCAACCGUAGAACUGCCAUUGAUACUGUUAUUCUUGAAUGUAGUUGAGGUAGGCGGAAUGUGUAAUGUAGCGGUGAAAUGCUUAGAUAUUACACAGAACACCGAUUGCGAAGGCAGCUUACUAAACUAUGAUUGACGCUGAUGCACGAAAGCGUGGGGAGCGAACAGGAUUAGAUACCCUGGUAGUCCACGCUGUAAACGAUGAUCACUCGUUGUUUGCGAUAUAUUGUAAGCGACUGA
rnacentral:rRNA from 1 species